rnacentral:rRNA from 1 species
GGGAAUUUUUCGCAAUGGGCGCAAGCCUGACGAAGCAACGCCGCGUAGAGGAUGAAGGCCCUCGCGGUCGUAAACUCUUGUCUAGCGGGACGAAACCUUUGCAGAUGAAUAAUCUGCAGAAUUGACUGUACCGCUGGAGGAAGCUCCGGCCAACUACGUGCCAGCAGCCGCGGUAAUACGUAGGGACCAAGCGUUGUUCGGAUUUACUGGGCGUAAAGGGAGCGUAGGCGGCGCGUCAAGUCAGCUGUGAAAUCUUAAGGCUUAACCUUAAGCGGUCAGCUGAUACUGUCGUGCUAGAGUGCAGAAAGGGCAAUCGGAAUUCUUGGUGUAGCGGUGAAAUGCGUAGAUAUCAAGAGGAACACCUGAGGCGAAGGCGGGUUGCUAGGCUGACACUGACGCUGAGGCUCGAAAGCUAGGGGAGCAA